CUGCAUUUUCAUGGGAAGAUGAAGAAGCAGAGAGUCCAUUAUUUUAUUUGACUACAUUUACCUUUUACAGUGUAAAGCAAAACAAAAAACAAAAAACAAACAAACAAACAAACAAAAAACCCCUGCAUCUUGGCAUGGCCGCUGUUGCCCAGUAACCAAGAAAGCUGUGAAGCAUCAAUCUUGAUGCCACUAAAGUGACGUUCAGUGCAUUGAUCCGUCAGCCUUCUUCCUCUGCACAUUCUCCUCCUGAUGACUGCAAAAGGGAUUCAGAUUCACUAGAAGAUUUUGGGCAAAGGUUAACUGCUGAAAUGAGCAGUGGAAAACUGCAUCUCUGUGAAGUUAAGCUCUUUAAAAUAUGCAUCAGUGUUCCAAACAGCAAGCUAAUUUUCGAGUUCAUCAAAUGUGUAUUUAUAUGGUGAGUGUAUCCGUCACAUAAACAUUUUGUCAAUCA
rnacentral:lncRNA from 1 species